AAGAUACUAGUAAAAUAGUACAUUACAUUGCCUUGUCAAGGCAGAAGUGUGGGUUAAACCCCCACGUAUCUUG
rnacentral:tRNA from 1 species